CUUUUGUUGGCACCAUAAAUUGAUUGUGCUUCGCACUAUCUUCAUCAAGAUAGUGCGAAGUUUUUGAGAUUGGUAGUUGAAUCAUAUUGAUGAAGCUGCUGUGUUCCCCCUUCCUUUUUUUUUUUUUUUUUAAGGGGGGAACUGAAACAUUUGAAAUUUGAAACUCCUUAGUGUUAGAAGUUUGAAGAUUUUCCAUGUAGGGCUUUCUCAUGAUUUGAAUUUGAAUUUUGAAUGUCAAUAGCCAUGUUGAACUAUAUAUAAGAAUGAUAAGUUUCCAUGGGAGCAUAAUAAGGGUGUCACGCCUGAGCGACGUGUUCCUACUCACUUCCAGACUUGAGUGACACGAGGCACCAUCAAACUCUCCGGACAGGAGCUAGCUGAUGUAGAGAAAAUGCUGAGGGUGCCCAAAGAAGAUAGACACUUGGGUAAGCUACGACCCUUGUUUCGAAAGUACGGUUUCCAGCCCUUAGUUUCCGAGUGCCAGAGACGAGCGAUGGAGAAGGUGGGCAAGAAAGUGGAGACUAGCACCAAGAAAAUGAGAGUGCCCAUGUUAGUUCCUUCAGAAGACAUCUUGUUUCACAAGGAAGCUCGCAAGCACCGAGUGAGACCAAUCAUUAAAACUAAGUCUCGAGAAGAAGUCCUCAAGGUUGCUGCCUCAAAGAAAGCUGAAGCUGAGGCCAUUGGAUGUGCUGCUGCCAUAGUUGCCGGGGAAGAUAUGCGAUUGCUGCUUCCUCUUCCUACUAUCAAUCCUAUCUUUCCUCCAGUUAGGGAGCACAUUGGGCAGAAAGGUGAUCCUAGUUCUAGCAGCGAGGGUAAAGAUAAGGAAGAGGUUGAUAAUGUCAUUUGGAAGGAUUUGAAGUUUGCCAUGUGGCCAAAGGACUUUAGGUAUAUCAACAAUUGACUGGCAGGACGUCGAUUCACUUUCAAUGAGCUUGGAGAGCCCUUAGCUAAAGAUGAAUCGAAUUGCGACCGGAUGUUGAAGCUGUCUUCAUAUGUCAUGGUUGAGUCACGACAGACUGCGAGAGGUUGAGCGGUGCAAGAUGAAAUUGAAAGAGAAUAAGCAGUUUGUGAAUGAUGCCAGGAAGACGAGCAAAGCUUUGGCUGAGGCCAUCCAAGUCAAGGAUCAACAUUUUGAGAGUUUGAAGAGGCGGAAUGGUGAGAACUUGAGACUCAAGGUACAGUUGGAGACAAUUAUACUCGAGGUUUCCAAGGUUAAAUGGGAGUUGGAUAGUACAUUGGUUGAGGUUUCUGAGCUGAAGAGUAGUAUCCCGACUGAGAAUGAAGCUGCUGUGAAGGAGUUCUUGGGUUCCCAGGCCUUUCUCCAUGUACUUAGACCUCGCUGUACCCGGGAAGUUCACUUUGAAAAAAGAAAGUGGAUGGCUGUCCUUGAUCGUUAUGAUGAUGGAAGCGUUCUUCGAAAAUACCGUGAAGAAAUAGAUGAGCAUCAUUGAAAAGGUGAGACCUUCGACCUUGCAGUUUAUUCUAGCAGUGCAGAUGAGUCUGGCGAUGAUGCUAGUGUUGAUGAGCAGAGUCAUCAGGGUGAUAAUGAGUUUGAAAAUGCAGAAAAUGGCGGUAUGACUCAUAGUGAUAUGAUCAGGGGUUCAACCUCAGAUGAGGAUGACUAGAAGUGCUUUCACUUUCUGCAUGUACUCUACCUGCACUAGUUUGUUGUUUGUAUGACAUGUGCCAUGUUAUAAGCCUGAGAGUUUUUCUUUUGUUUUGCAUGUUUAUGAGUGUUUGCAUUAUCAAGCAAGUGUUUGUAUUAUGAAGCUUUAAGUGUUUGCAUUAUCAAGCUUUAAGUGUUUGCCCUAUCAUUGA